CCAUGUGCACGUCGUGGGAGUCCAGGUGUUGCCUUGAGGCUGAUUUGGGCCAUUUGAUCGAGGGUGAGACGUGUAUCACCAUGUCUCGGAUGUUCAGCAUCUUGUGCCUUGAAAAAGACGUAUUGGAAGUGGCAAUGCUGUCACUACGAGAGGUACGAGGGGAGCCACUGAAGCGGCCCAUCAACAGCAGUCUGUACAGGUUAAUGGCAUACAGGCAGUUCACUCUCUGGGCAAGAGGACACCUGGGGAGGAGAAACAGGAUGCCAAUACCAGCCUGCGUUGUAACCACCAUACGGCACCUAUACCCAUCGCCACAAUAUCAUGGAUUUGAAUACUCUUUUUAAAUCAAAUAAUAACUAUAUUAUAUAUCCAA